GAUGAAGCACGCAGCAAAAUGCGAUACGUAAGGUGAAUUGCAGAAUUCAGUGAAUCAUCGAAUCUUUGAACGCACAUUGCGCCCGCUGGUAUUCCGGCGGGCAUGCCUGUUCGAGCGUCAUUUCAACCCUCAAGCCCCCGGGUUUGGUGUUGGGGAUCGGCUCUGCCCUUCUGGGCGGUGCCGCCCCCGAAAUACAUUGGCGGUCUCGCUGCAGCCUCCAUUGCGUAGUAGCUAACACCUCGCAACUGGAACGCGGCGCGGCCAUGCCGUAAAACCCCAACUUCUGAAUGUUGACCUCGGAUCAGGUAGGAAUACCCGCUGAACUUAAGCAUAUCAAUAAGCGGAGGA
rnacentral:misc_RNA from 1 species